rnacentral:rRNA from 1 species
GUUAGGAAUAUUGGACAAUGGGCGCAAGCCUGAUCCAGCCAUGCCGCGUGAGUGAUGAAGGCCUUCGGGUUGUAAAGUUCUUUAGCCGAUGAUUAUAAUGACUGUAGUCGGAAAAUAAGCCCCGGCUAACUUCGUGCCAGCAGCCGCGGUAAUACGAAGGGGGCGAGCGUUAUUCGGAAUCACUGGGCGUAAAGCGUGCGUAGGCGGUCUCGUAAGUUAGGAGUGAAAGCCCAGGGCUCAACCUUGGAAUUGCUCUUAAAACUGCAAGGCUAGAAUCUCGGAGAGGAUAGCGGAAUUUCCAGUGUAGCAGUGAAAUGCGUAGAUAUUGGAAGGAACACCAGUGGCGUAAGCGGCUAUCUGGACGAGUAUUGACGCUGAGGCACGAAAGCGUGGGGAUCAAACAGGAUUAGAUACCCUUGUAGUCC